UGUGACCAGCCCCUGGACCACAACUCACGGGCAGCGUGAGGACCAGCACUAAAUCCCAGUAGGGAAAACAGAAGCAGAGAUAAGCCACCAGGAAAAGAUGAAAAUCCUCACGGACUCCAGCCCCAGGCUCUCCUCCUGGGUUUCCUGCCUGGGUGCGCAGGGGACAUGGCGACCGCACUACCGAUUUCAAAGUGACUUUGAGGCUGGGCUCAGGGGCUCAUGCCUGUAAUCCCAACACUUUGGGAGGCCAGAGUGGGAGAAUCGCUUGAGCCCAGGAGGUCGAGCCGUGAUCGCGACCGUGUACUCCAGCCUGGGCGGCAGAUCUAGACCCUAUCUCCAAAAAAAAAAAAAAAAAAAAGAGAAAAGAAAAAAGAGAAAGAAAAACUUUGACCUGAAGACACGCCAAUGCUCUUCAGCCUGUGUAGGCAGGUAUUCGAGUCAUGGAACUUUUUCAAAGAACUGAAGGGGGAUUCCCGGUGAUUUUUCCACCCCAUACAGAUGAAGACAUCAAAGGGCCCCGCCGCAGUGACGAAGACAAAAGCAUGAACAGAUCUGGGUCCAAAGAG
rnacentral:lncRNA from 10 species